GACGAACGCUGGCGGCGUGCUUAACACAUGCAAGUCGAACGGAAAGGCCCUGCUUUUGUGGGGUGCUCGAGUGGCGAACGGGUGAGUAACACGUGAGUAACCUGCCCUUGACUUUGGGAUAACUUCAGGAAACUGGGGCUAAUACCGGAUAGGAGCUCCUGCUGCAUGGUGGGGGUUGGAAAGUUUCGGCGGUUGGGGAUGGACUCGCGGCUUAUCAGCUUGUUGGUGGGGUAGUGGCUUACCAAGGCUUUGACGGGUAGCCGGCCUGAGAGGGUGACCGGCCACAUUGGGACUGAGAUACGGCCCAGACUCCUACGGGAGGCAGCAGUGGGGAAUAUUGCACAAUGGGCGGAAGCCUGAUGCAGCAACGCCGCGUGCGGGAUGAAGGCCUUCGGGUUGUAAACCGCUUUCGCCUGUGGCGAAGCGUGAGUGACGGUAAUGGGUAAAGAAGCACCGGCUAACUACGUG
rnacentral:rRNA from 1 species